ensembl:lncRNA
CAGGAAGGCACUACUGGAAAAGCUUCCCCCAACGCUGUGAAGAAAGGUUCCUAAGCCCGGAGGAUACAAUCCAGACCGGAAGGUCACAGAGGCUGCGACCCAGGAGCCCCUGGAAGGGAUGAGAAAACCAGCGCCGGGGCAAGGGUCUUGAAGAUUGCCUGGAUUCCCUCUCCACGCCUAUAGGUAAAACAGGGUCACUUGGGAGACGAGUGGCUGGGCGUGUGACCUUGAAAUCCUUCAUCUGCUGGCCCAGGGCUACUAUCAGGAUCACCUGGAGCAUCUGUGAGAUGCAGAAGCUGAGGGCUGGGACAGGAGGCGGCUGCGGGCACAGCACCCCAGGAUGCAGAACAGAGAGAGUCCGUCUAGGCAGGAGGCUCAGGUGAGGAAACAGAGGCCCAGAAAGGGAAAGUGACUUGCCCAGGGUCACACAGCUAUUUCUCCUCAAGGCCACUCCUCGAAGCUCUGCUGGGCUUGGAUGCUGCCGGAGACACACGCUGAUGACAGCUUGGGAAAAGGAGGGCCAAGUCCUAGCUGAGGAGCGAGCCUCAGGGAGAGCGUGCUGUGGUGUCCACGGCAGGAUGUUUUUAGCAGCUCUGUUCCUGAGGAGAAGCUAAGAACACCACAAACAUCCAGUAACAGGAGAUUUAAGAAAUCAACGGCACCUCCCGCAGCAGCAGGGGUGAACCCUAAAGCGUAAUGUAGAGGGAAGAGCAGACACUGCAGGAACUACACUCGGUUCAAAGCCGUUUUAUCAAGUCCCCCA